GACGAACGCUGGCGGCGUGCUUAACACAUGCAAGUCGAACGAUGAAGAAGAGCAACGCGAGCUUUGGUUCAAAUUUCACUUCGGAGUAGUGGCAGACGGGUGAGUAACGCGUGAGCAAACAACCUCUUACAAAGGGAUAGCCUCGGGAAACCGAGAUUAAUACCCUAGGACACAUUCAUAAGGCAUCUUAAGAAUGGUAAAGCUACGGCGGUAAGGGCUGGGCUCGCGUCCCAUUGGCUAGUUGGUGAUGUGACGGCCCGCCAAUGCGACGAAGGGGACCCGGCCGGGUAGGCGGACCCGUUACAUCUGAACUGCGGCACAGUCCAAACCCCUACGGGACACUGCAGUAUGUAACAUUGCACGCUGGAGCGAACUCUGAUGCAGCGACGCCGCGUGUGCGAUGAAUGAAUUCGUUUCGUAAAGCUCUGUUCUAUGGGAAGAAAAUGACUGUACCAUAUGAGAAAGCCCCGGCUAACUACGUG
rnacentral:rRNA from 1 species